ensembl:lncRNA
CCGGCCGGUCUGGGCCGCGGGGCCGAGCCGCCGGCCAGGGGAGCCCGGGAAAGCGGGGUGUGGUGGGGGGGAUAGAGAGGUUUGAUGCCGCUCCUCCGCUUCCCGCUCGUUCUCGGGCGCUGCAGAAGGGCCUUUGCGGGGUGACGACCGCUCGCCGCCUCCCGGCGUAGUCGAGCUUCCCUCGCGCACGGCCCGCAGAGCCUUCGUAUGUAAUUCACCGCUGUGCCACUCACUGUACGUGGGCCCAGCAGAAGCUGUCAGGGGAGCCGGCAGGAGACGAGGGUCGGGUGUGAACGGGAACCAAAGGCACGGAGCUGCCGCAGCGCGCUGGGGGACGAAGUGCCCCCCCCGCCAAGGACGGCCGUCCCUUCGUCCUGCCCGUGCGCGGCGGCUCCGGGCCGCGUGUGGGAGCCCUCAGGAGUGGGGAACCGGCACCCGUCAAUAACGCCCCAAAGAGCCCCGAUGCCUUCAGGUUUGCCUCACUGUGGGUGCCCCAGCCCUGGAGGCGCUCAAGGCCAGCUUGGAUGUGGCGCUGGGCAGCCUGAGCUGGUGGGUGGCAGCCCUGCGUGUGGCAAGAGGGUUGCAGCUUAACAUCCCGUCCAACCUAAGGUGCAGAUCCAGUCUGUGGCAAGGUGAGAGCUCACCCUGCAAACAUCCACCUAAUUGUGCUUACGGCCAGCCUCGACCGCAACACAAAGCGCUGAUUUCCUCUAGUUUGCUGGAUGCUUUGGAAACCCGAGGACGGCGAGGAAGCCGAGUGUAUGUAAAUGUGAUUGCAGAGCGAGGUUUCUAAUUGUCUUUCUGAUUAUUUGGUCUUUUAAACUGCUCGAUGUGGUGUUUAAGCAACCCACAGCCGUUCAGAUCGCAGCGGGCUUUUAACACUGCGUGAUUCUGGUGGGUGCUUAAGGGAAACGGAUCCGGGAGCAGCCCCUGACACCGGCCGCCUCCAUCAGGUUUCAAGCCUCUGCAAGAUCCUGACUGCUAGGGAACAAAGGCUGGUAUGCGGUUCCCUCAAAGCUCCGCACUUUUUAGUUCCUGCACGUAUUUAUUUCUCAUCAGGAAUAAUGGCAAGAUUUGCUCUCCCAGAGAUUUGACCUUAAGUUUAUUCUACCCACAACACUAUAGACCAUUUCAUCAAUUAUGAAUGUACCCAUGUGUAUAGAGGAACUGGUAAGCCAGCUCAGUAAUACUACCUUGUUCUGGAGACUUACCCUUAUAAAUAAAUUAGGGGCAUAUCUUUAUGAAAAACCAAAGACAGAGAGAAAGAAAGACUGAAAGCAAGUAAGACAGAAAGCAAGAAAGGAAGGAAGGGAGAAAGAAAGGGAGAAAGAAAGAAAGGAAGGAAGGAAAAUCUAGAAAGCCACAUUUUUUUUUAAGAUAAAAGGGCAGUGGCUAGCAUCAAAAGUGUUUUCUCUGUGAUUUGUAUUUUGAAUGUCUGUGUGUCUAUAUAAAGAGAUAAAAUGCUGGAUAUGCAGUAGCCAGACUAUCAAUAAGACAGUUAUUUCCAUAAGUUAUUGAUGACCCUUUAGCUCACAAGUGACAGGCCAAAGUAGAGCCAUGAGCAACUUAUGAAAGGUCAUCAAUAACAACUGAAAAUAAAUGUUGUGUCCAGUGCAUGCCCACUGUGUGUCCUGUUUAUACAAUGCCAGUGUAAGUUUCUUGUGGUGUAGUUUUUAAUAAGCUGUAACAACCUUAGUCCCUGCCUGAAGCAGCGAGGUUUUCCGGCAGCAGAGGAAGGAGGAGGUGCACACAUUCCCAUGAGGCUGCUCACACUCCUCAUGAGUACUUUUUGUCAGAUGCAAAGGUAAAAGCUUGCAUCUCUCAGCACACCAGGAUGAAACAGGACCCUGGGGAGUGAAAGGAGAGACCACGCGCAUCACUAAAACAUUAAACACUGUGGACAAUCCUGGUGCUGCAGUGUAAGACUGCUCAGAAGUAAGAAGAUACAGAGGAGUCAGGGAGAGGAAAAAGGAGAAGCUGAGAUGCAGGGUUGUAAAUAAAUCAUACCCUGUGUUAAGAUUGCAAAUACAUAAUAUGCUAUUAAGGUAUUUCUAAUAGUAAUCUGUAUCAUGCUGCAAGGAGGAUUGAUGCACUGUGUGUGGUAAGAACAUUCUGGAGGCAAAAGAAAGAUCUUUCUGUCUACCUGGAGUCUUACUCCCCAUGGAAAGGCUGCAAUGGACACCGGAUGCGGUCCAGUGGGGAACAAACACUUAGUUUUACCUGCUUGUUGGCAGAUUUUGCUUUCAGUAACCAUCAUCCUGAAACUCAC